GCCUCUGUGACUGGAUAACGUGUGUUUGAGCAACUCCUUUUACUUCCAAGUCUUCACAACUCAAAACUGUGUGGUCCGGAUUUGCAGGCCACUGCUCUGGAGACUGGAGGAUGAAGUCUGGUCCUGACAGCCAACUUUCACAUCUCAGGAAAGCCUCUGCAGUUAGUCCUCUUGAGACAUAAUUAGCAUAUGGAUGUCCAGCUCCAGCUCCUUUCGCAGUAACUUGUCCAUUUUGACAGCAACUGUAGCAGCAGUUAACUCCAGCCGUGGGAUAGUUGGAGUUUUCAAUGGUGCAACUCUGGCUCUAGCCAUCAUUAGAGUGGAUUCUAUAUCACCUCUGGAGUUGUGUAGCACCAGAUGUUUGAGUCCUGACAUCCAUUUUUCCAGCCUUUGAUGAUGUUGUCGGGCAACUCUUCAUCCCAGGCAUACUUCAGGCGACAUAACUCUUGGAGAAGUCUUUUAGCUUGCAAAAUUACUGGAACAAGGAAUCCCAAAGGGUCAAAGAUAGAGCUCACAAGAGACAGCAGUCCUUUUCUGGUGUGUGGGCGCUCUUUGAGACUAAUUUUGAACUUAAACUGAUCACUUUAAGCACACCACUGGAUUCCCAGGGCUCUCU